CUCUGUCCCCUCUCCCUCCCCUCCCCCCAUUCCUCUCUCUCCUUUCCAAGGCUCAUGGGUGGCCUCUACUUUCUCCCUCUCCCUCUCCCUCUCCCUUUCCCUCUCCCUUUCCCUCCCCCUCCCCCUCUCCCUCUCCCUCCCGGUCUCUGUCUGUCUCUACCUCUACUACCUUCUCAAUUCCCCUUCCCUUGCCCUGAAUAAAGUUCUAUUCUAUACUAGACCAUUGUGUGGCUGGUCCCCUCAGCGUAGGCCCACAGAGGCUCCCCCUUCCCCCACACCUUACCACACAUCCACCAAACAAUAUCCCUCCUCUAUUUUUUUUUAUAAACACAUCACAGUGGGCAAUGACCAAAGGUAGACAGUUGCCAUGGUAUCCUCAAAAGGAAACACACGCACUGUGGUCACUCCCCACAGCCUUACACUUGCAUCAUCCCAAAGGGGAACUCUAGGAAUCUAUAAACUCUCCAGAGAGGUGGUGCCACAAACGAUUCUCCUCAGCAGGGAGACUGCUCAGCAGGGAGACUGCUCGUAGAAUGCUGUAGCCUGUAAUAUUUACAAAGUGAUGGGUAUGGUGGCACAUGCAUCAGUACAUGGGAGGUGAAGGUCGCUUUUGUAAGAGUAUGUCAUCACAGCAACAAGGAAACAAAACAAAGGUACCCACUGAGUUAACUCAACUGGUUCCCCAUUACCUUGUCAUAAAAAUCUAAACUACGGAGAGGGAGCUGGUUUAGUGGAUAAAGCACUUGCUGUACAAGUCUGAAGAGCAGAGUUUCCAUCCCCAGAAGCCAGGGAAACGCCAGGAAAACACUACUUGCAAUCCUAGCAUCUGGUGGAUAGAAGAUGGGGAUCUUCAGGGCAGAAAGGCUCGUUAGCUAAGCAAGCCAAAUCCAGUUCUCUCCCCUCUUCCCUUGCCCUGGGUGUUGACAUCACAUUCAAGGCACUAGGUGAGCUGCUGCCUGUGCCACACUGAACAGUCAAAGGUUGGUCCCCAGCUACAUGAAGCAACCCUUUCAUGAUGAGAACCAUGCUUAUUACAUUCCUGAGCCGAGUACGUCCCAGAGCCUAAGGCCCUACGGCAGGAACCUCACUAUAGGGUCUUCCAAGCUUUCAACCACCUUCAUGCAAUAAUAUUGCCCAGGUUAUAAGAAAACACCUCAAAUAAACGACACUUUAUCCUCCACAAGUGUCAACAGAAGCAUCUGCAUCCUCUCAGGAGCUCCUGAAGUAGCUGAAGCUGCCUUGUAGCCUCUCUCAGAACUCAUCAUUUGAAAGAGGUGAGGAAUGGCCGUCAGCAUAAGCACUGUCCUUGCCUCUAACACACGGUUUUAGAGAUACAGGUCUUACCCAGAGGAGAAAGAAUCUGGCUGGCUGUACAUCUCUCUGGAAGUCCUGAAUAACGAGCCCCGUGCCUCUCCACAGGCACAGCCGUGCCAACAGCAGGGACUCAUGUCCACAAGCAGUGACAGGCUGUGAGUUUUCUGCCUACCUCGAUGGCUAUCAUGACCUCUGUUAUUUAAGCAAACUUUGCUAUUUAAAGAUGAUCAUGUCCGUUUUUCAAACAUUCUUUUCAAACCUGAGACAAGGAGGUGGGGUGGGGAGUAGGGAUGGGGAGGGUAGCAGGAACUUGCCAUGCGGUGACGUACUUGGGGGAGAGUCAGAUCCCUGUCUGCUGUUACUUAAGUGUACAGGACCC